rnacentral:rRNA from 1 species
AACGAACGCUGGCGGCAUGCCUAACACAUGCAAGUCGAACGAGACCUUCGGGUCUAGUGGCGCACGGGUGCGUAACGCGUGGGAACCUGCCCUUAGGUUCGGAAUAACUCCCCGAAAGGGGUGCUAGUACCGGAUAAUGUCUUAGGACCAAAGAUUUAUCGCCUUUGGAUGGGCCCGCGUUGGAUUAGCUAGUUGGUAGGGUAAAAGCCUACCAAGGCGACGAUCCAUAGCUGGUCUGAGAGGAUGAUCAGCCACACUGGGACUGAGACACGGCCCAGACUCCUACGGGAGGCAGCAGUGGGGAAUAUUGGACAAUGGGCGAAAGCCUGAUCCAGCAAUGCCGCGUGAGUGAUGAAGGCCUUAGGGUUGUAAAGCUCUUUUACCCGGGAUGAUAAUGACAGUACCGGGAGAAUAAGCUCCGGCUAACUCCGUG